ACUGCAUUAUUCGUCGGGAACCUGGCAGGCAGUGGACGGCCGGGCGCCCACCGCCCGACCCGGCAACCCGUCCCCGCCGGGGGCACGUGUCGGCGCCGGGGAAGAUCCGUCUCGCUAGCGCCCUCGAUCCGACGGAGCCGAGCACACGCGCCGGUCCUCCGUGCUCCCCUACCAGCGCCCUUUCUGUCUCAGGCCCCGUCGCCGUCGCCCGGAGGCCGGAGCGGCGAGCACCACGCACAGCCCCGCAGCAGUUUUAUAUUCCGGCGUCGGCAUCGCGUGUGCGCCAGGACCGGGUGCGGGCGCGGCGGCGGCGACCGGCGGCGACCGGCGGCAGGCCGGCGGGCGGAUCGGAUGCGCUGCGCGCCCGCGCUGCUUGUCGGGGGAGGGGGGCGACGUGGCCGAAGCUGCGACACUCCUCCGCCGCCUAUUUUAAUCCCGGCGAGCCCUAGAUAUUUUUGGCUCCCCGGCGCCUUUCCGCCCCCUACAAGAAGGCCACCCCGGCAGCCUCCCCGGCUGCACUCACACAUCGGGCCGGGAGAUUUCGAAUCCACCUCAGAUUUCGCUUGCUUUCUCCCGCGGCGUCGGCCCCCGUCUCUCUCUCUCUCUCCGCGCUGGUGAGCCCCCGCGGGCGACGUGUGUCCCGCGGGGGGUUUUCCUUGCCUUCGACGGCCAUCUGUUCGCCUCGCAUGGCUCCCUCCUGCCAAGCGUCCUCGCGUCGUCCCCGGGAGCGCCACCGCUCGCCAGGCGGCCGAGCGCCGCGGCGUCCAGCCCAGAUCCGCGCGCGCCCAGCUAAUCGCCGCGCCGCGUCCUCAACUUCACAUCUCUAAUAGCUCACCAGCAUUCCGGCUCGGCGCUGCCUGCCUUCUCCCUUCCCUCCUCCUGUAUGUAGCUCGUAGCCCCACCCACCCCGAAAUAGCAGUUCAGAAUGGCUCCGCUUGCCUUUCGCAUCUCUCCAGCCGCAGCGGCCCCCCGUCGUCGUCUCAGAUUAAUGCAAGGGGCAGUGACAAGCUAGAGGCAGCAACUGCAUAUCUUGCAAGAAAAUUGGUUUUUCAGACCAUACCUAUGAUUUUCUUGCAAGUUGUGCAGUUGUUGUCUCAAGCUUGCUGCCUCCCUUUGCCAAAACUAUGAAGAAAAGCACAGGUUAUGUUAUUGAUGAACACACAGGUCAAAAUUAAAUGAAUUAGCAUGUGUCUGUAACAAGAAGGAUGUUAUAUUUAUGAAAUCUUGUAGCAUGAAGUAGCACUUCGCAGCAUUAUACUUAUACCACAGAUAUUAGGUUCAAAACUUAAUUUGUCGUCCAUUUUAUAGCAUGAAGUAGUAUUUUGUUAUUAAGGAAAUGCAAAGAUCGGUUCUCCAUAUUGGCAAUGUGGAGGCUAUCUUAAUGGGUUUUUUUAGCUUUGGUCAUCAUGCAGUAUGCUAAGGUGGCACUUAGUGAGCUAGGAAACUAUGUAUUUCGGCUGACAUUGGUGCCCCUGGGCACUACGCAGUGGCAAGCAAACUUUGAAGAAACAAGGGUACACCGAUCGCCUUUUGUCUGCCAGUGCUGAUUCUUCUGUAGUUAAUGUUCAGAGUGCUCAAUGUCUACACAGCGCUUUAUUCUGCUUUCUUUGGUUUGCAAGGUCGGAGGAGGUAUGAGAGCAAAUGGAAGUUCAGGUAUUUGAACUGCCCUGCAGAUCGUUGAGGGCAGUUUCUGGUGUAGACUAUUGGAGAUUGGAGUUUAUGAGAUGAUCCACGGCAGCGCUAGAAAUUAUACAUUUCGGUGUCUUGAUUAACCAAACUCAAGUGGCAAAUAGGCUUUUGCAGUUAGAAAGUAAAAUGGCUGAUUAUGGCAUCCGCUGGAUGGUGUUGGAAGGUGAGAAAAUUCCAACUAUAUGCAGUGGAUGAAUUCAAGGUUGUAUGCUUCAAUGUUAUCUGUUGGAUCUAAUUAAUUCAUUAUACUUAGUCUAUGAAGCAGGCUUUUCUAGUUUAACAACUUGUAAAUUUUGCUAUAAGAAGUAUUUGAAAGAAAAGGCAUGUAUUUUGAGA